AAUCAACGCUGGCGGCGUGCCUAACACAUGCAAGUCGAACGCGAAAAGGGGCAACCCUGAGUAGAGUGGCGUCCGGGUGAGUAACACGUGGAUAAUCUGCCUGCGGGCGGGGAAUAACUUUCCGAAGGGAGGCUAUACCGCAUAACACCGUAAUAGGCAUCCUGAUACGGUCAAAGAGGGGAGUCGCAAGACCUCUCGCCUGCAGAGGAGUCCGCGGCCGAUUAGCUAGNGGCGAGGUAACGGCUCACCAAGGCAGCGAUCGGUAGCCGGCCUGAGAGGGC
rnacentral:rRNA from 1 species